CGAGGUGUAGCGCAGUUGGUAGCGCGCCAGUUUUGGGAACUGGAUGCCGCAGGUUCGAGUCCUGUCACCUCGACCA
rnacentral:tRNA from 1 species